rnacentral:misc_RNA from 1 species
GAUGAAGAACGUAGCGAAAUGCGAUAAGUAAUGUGAAUUGCAGAAUUCAGUGAAUCAUCGAAUCUUUGAACGCACCUUGCGCCCUUUGGCCAUUCCGAAGGGCAUGCCUGUUUGAGUAUCAUGAACACCUCAACUCUUCAUGGUUUUCCGUGAUGAGCUUGGACUUUGGGGGUCUUGCUGGCCUAUGGUCAGCUCCUCUAAAAUAAAUCAGCUUGCCAGUGUUUGGUGGGUAUCACAGGUGUGAUAACUAUCUACGCUUGAGGUUUUCCACCAGGUAACCUUCAGCAGUGGAGGUUCGCUGGAGCUCACAGAUGUGUCUCUCCUCAGUGAGGACAGCUCUUUGAAUGUUUGAUCUCAAAUCAGGUAGGACUACCCGCUGAACUUAAGCAUAUCAAUAAGCGGAGGA